GAUGAACGCUGGCGGCGUGCCUAAUACAUGCAAGUCGAGCGAACAGAUGAGGAGCUUGCUCCUCUGACGUUAGCGGCGGACGGGGGAGUAACACGUGGAUAAACUACCUAUAAGACUGGGAUAACUUCGGGAAACCGGAGCUAAUACCGGAUAAUAUAUUGAACCGCAUGGUUCAAUAGUGAAAGACGGUUUUGCUGUCACUUAUAGAUGGAUCCGCGCCGCAUUAGCUAGUUGGUAAGGUAACGGCUUACCAAGGCAACGAUGCGUAGCCGACCUGAGAGGGUGAUCGGCCACACUGGAACUGAGACACGGUCCAGACUCCUACGGGAGGCAGCAAUAGGGAAUCUUCCGCAAUGGGCGAAAGCCCGACGGAGCAACGCCGCGUGAGUGAUGAAGGUCUUCGGAUCGUAAAACUCUGUUAUUAGGGAAGAACAAAUGUGUAAGUAACUAUGCACGUCUUGACGGUACCUAAUCAGAAAGCCACGGCUAACUACGUG
rnacentral:rRNA from 1 species